GGGGAAGGAGGGGGAGGAGAGAAAAGGAGAGAGGGAGGGGAAGGGGAGGGGAAAGGCAGGCUCCCAUUUCCAAGUCCCAGCAGCCCAGCCAUCUCAAGGACAAGGGUGGGGAGGGGUUCAAAACCUCUCCUCCCUUUCCCUCCCCUCCCUCUCUCCUUUUCCCUCCCCCUGAUCCAAAGCCCCUUUACUGGGAACUACAUGGCUUUCCCCGCGUGCCCAAGGCCCCUCCUCAGGCGUGCGGGGAAUCCCUCUUGAGAUCCGUCGGCCCUUUUUGCUCCCGCCUUCCGUUCCGAUCCAGCCCUGAGACCGAAAGUGCGACAGCAUAAUCGGGGAAGGAACCGGGAUGUGGAGACACGUGAAGGUGCUUUGGAGAACAGCCCGACUCCCUCUUCUUUGUGGCAACCCCUGAGAUAUUGGAAGACUGCUAUCAUGUCUCCCCUGGUCCUUCUUUGCAGAUCCCUCGCAUCCUGGACAUAAACUGUUUCAACUCCUACCCUCAAAACGACGCUAUAGAGCAUUGCACACCAGAACAACUAGACACAAGAACAGUUUUUCCCCGAAGGCCAUCACUCUGCUAAACAAAUAAUUCCCUCAACACUGUCAGACUAUUUACUGAAUCUGCACUAUUAUUAAUCUUCUCAUCGUUCCCAUCACCAAUCUCUUUCCAUUUAUGACUGUAUGACUAUAACUUGUUGCUGGCAAUCCUUAUGAUUUAUAUUGAUAUAUUGACCAUCAAUUGUGUUGUAAAUGUUGUACCUUGAUGAAGGUAUCUUUUCUUUUAUGUACACUGAGAGCCUAUGCACCAAAGACAAAUUCCUUGUGUGUCCAAUCACACUUGGCCAAUAAAAAAUUCUAUUCUAUUCUAAUUCUAUUCUUUUCAUUAAACGAGCCAUACCCAA